CUUUAUUUUCAUAUAUGGCGGAUGAUACUUCCAAUUGGUACAAUGAUUGUUGGAUUUGAUGGAAUCGGUCCGGACUUGAUACUAUGUUGAUAAGCGAGGGUGCAAGGCUCAAGGGAAGCCGGUUCUCUAACUCUCUGUAUGCUUAUGGUAUCUUGGAUGAGGGUUACAAAUUCAACGUGUUAGUUGAGGAAGCUACUGAGUUAGCAUGGCGGGCUUUUAUCACGCAACAUUUCGUGAUGGAGCAAGUGGUGGUUGUAUUCGUAUUGGUUUGGGUUCAGAUAGAAGAGCUCCAUGCUUACAAACUUUAGGGAUAACCGAGUUUAUCAAUGCCAAAAAAAUAAUCAUCGGGUUUUCAAGUGUAGGCAUCAUGUGAAAGCCCAGUUAGUGUUCCUGGUUUAUGAAUUUAAGAAUACAUUCUCAUCUCCCUUCUGUCUAUAUUCCAUUAUUUUAGAUUUAUAAGUGCUUUAGAUGAUUCUUGAGUGCCUUGUGCAACCUUUCCAUUUCAGGCAUCAUUUCUAAGUUGUAUGGCAUCCAUCCUGAUAAUUUGUUCUGCACCAUGCUGCCUCAUGUAGGAUUUUGGUGCUCGUGGUCUACUUUGCUUAGGGUCCUACAGGAGCACGGCGCUUUGCUGACCAAGAAGAUUGAGAGGGGGAGCCAAUUGCUAGAGAACGAGAAGGCCCGAACUGCUGCGUUGGAGGCCGGUCUCCGUAUCCGAUUGCAUCUGUGAGUACCUUCUGCUUACUGGCAUUUAAUUGGUUUAGACUUGUUUUUUGCUGAUAUAGCCUGUUAUUGCCGUGAAGCAGCCGAGGAGCAAUAUUACGAGAUGUGUCGUCGUCUUAGCUUGGUUUGGAAGGAGGCCAGCAAUUAUCGGAGCAUCGCCGAGUUGGGUGCUUUGGAGGCCCGUUACUGCCAGGAAUUAUUGUUGAAAACGCGAGACACUUGGGGAUUCAAACCAAAACAUUACCUCCGGUCUCUGGGCAAUGGUGCAAAAUCAGAGAGAGAGAGAGAGAGACUGUCCUGCGGCAACAAAUCCAGUCCGUCCGGGAUGAGAUUGAAGCUUCAGGGAAGGGUGAGGGCCCUUCGAUUGCCGAGGAGACUGCCCUGCUGAGAGGUCGGUCAACGCAUGUCGGUGGAACUGUCAGAUCAAUACGGCCAAAUAGCCAAGCUCCAGGAGGCCGCCCGAGGUAUUCUUCCGUAAAUGUAUAUUGUGCCGGAUCAAGGCAAACUUGGACAAGCAUCCCACUUAUGAUUAACCUCUAUUGCAAGCAUCCGCAACUAAACAAAAGUAUUAAGGUAAAUCU